UGACGUCUGACAUGGAAGUGUGUGUGAAGCACAAUUGUGUCACUGAAUUCUUCCAUGUGGAAAAUAUUGCACCCACUGAAAUUCAUUGAGGUAUAAUGAGCAUUUAUGGAUACCAAACAGUUGAUAUGAGCACACUGAGGUGGUGGGUGGUAUGUUUAAGCAGUGAUGAAAGCACUGUGAAAGACAAGCCAUAUUCUGGAUGGCCAUGCACAACUAUAAUGCCAUGAAAGAAAGAGUGUCUGAGUCAGAUUAUCCACACAAAUUGGUGGAUUACAAAAAUGAAAUUGUUUUUAGAAGUAAAUAUCAACUUCAGUGCACAGGAAACAGUGGUGACAUUGGAAUUAUGCAAAGUUUGCACCAGGUGCAUCCAAUGGAUGCUCACACAGGAACAGAAAGAACACCAUAUGCAAGUUUGUUAGGACUUAUUGAACCGAUAUGAGACUGAAAGUGACAAUUUCCUGAAUUGCAUCAUUGCUGGUGAAGUGAUGUGGUGUCACCACUAUGAGCCGGAGUCAAAACAGCAGAGCUGACAUGAAAAUUCUCCAUUGAAGAAGAUAGUUCAAGAUGCAGCCCUCAGAAGUAGCCAGACUUCUUCGCCACAACAUGAGACAAAGAGAUAAAACAAUCAACCAACAAGCAACAAAGCCUUCCCACACCCUGGAUGUAAAACCUUUGUGGAAGAUUCAUGGAUCUUUUAUUGUUAAUAUAGCAGAAACAGAGGUUAAAAUUUCACAAAAGGGACCAAAUAAAAAUACUAUUUAAUAUA